UACAGAGGUCUCAACCGUUGUUCGGAUUCAUUGGGCGUAAAGGGUGCGUAGGCGGCGGGGCAAGUCAGGUGUGAAAUCUCGGGGCUCAACCCCGAAACUGCACUUGAUACUGCCUUGCUCGAGUACUGGAGAGGAGACUGGAAUUUACGGUGUAGCAGUGAAAUGCGCAGAUAUCAGGAGGAACACCGAUGGCGAAGGCAGGUCUCUGGGCCACUACUGACGCUGAGAAGCGAAAGCGUGGGGAGCGAACAGG
rnacentral:rRNA from 1 species